GAGAAAGGAGGUCCUUCACUCGAGCUUCAAUGGGUUCAUUUGGGUUUCUGUAUAUGCAGUUCAAGUCUUCAGCUGUUUCCAUCUUUUGAGUUCAAGAAAACCCAGGUAAGAGAAUCUGGAACUUAGAGAAGUGGGUAGCUAGAGUUGCAUUGCUCCAUUAUUAUAGACCCAUCAUUUUGAACUGUGAAGUGGGUAGGUAGUAGUAGAGGGCUACCUUCAUCAUCUUCUUGCUUAGGACAAUUCAACCGAACUUUCUUGCUUUCUCCCCAAAUGAUUGGAGGUCAAAACUAACUUUCUGGAGGGUAAUUUGGGCAAAUUUUUCUCAAUCAUAGAUAGAUAGGGAAGGACUAAGAGCACACAGCUUGUCUAUGAGAAAUUCUGGUUCUUUUUAUAAAUGGUAGUUUGAAAGUGAAAGCUUCAUUCUCUGUCUUAUUAUAGUGUGGGAUAAAUUAUGUCUUGGUACAAAGUACAUAUCUACAAAAGAGGGAAAUGGAAAAUGAAUUUGUACAUGUUACAUUAGCUUUUAAAGCUUUCCUACUCUACUCUCUUCUUUAAAUUCAUAUGAAUCAGGUGAAACUGUGAUGGCAUGUCAUAUUUACUAUCCCUCUACUGCAGUUGCUUGCAUGGGGAAAUUACUUUUUACUGUCUACUUUGAAGAUGAAUCAACCGCUUGUGCACAACUUCCAUUGAUCUUGGAUUCACAUUGUAGUAUUGUACAGAUUGGGAGGCUAUUCCAUGUUGCCGAUCUGCUUUAACUGGCUGUGAUGAAUGUGUGAAGUCCACAGCUUCACCUUCACUUCCUUAAAUAGACUUUCUUCUGGGUACGUCUUCCUUGUCACUUGCUACUGAGAUCACUAACUUCACUAACAACUCUUCAGGGACUUCCUGGGAGAAUCUUCAGGUUCCUGUUCAAUUUAACAAAGUUUGUAUACGUUAGAGUGUGGUUGUUCAGAACGAAUGAAAUGUACCUAUGUGAAGCAAAAGAUAAUGAAGUUUGUAAAGAGUUGCUUGCUUGUCCAAAAGUAAAAUUGUUACUGAAAUGUAAAACUCAUAUAUCUUGCUUACCUUUCUGAAUUUUGUCAUACAUUUCCAGUAUCGAUGUUCAAAUAAUUUGUUCGUCAUGUUUUGAUUUCUUCAACUGGUUUUUUCAAUUCCGCAGGAAUCUCAUGAUUAUUUUGCGAUGCAUUACUGAGUUCUUCAGCUGAUUUUUUCAAUUCUGUAGCAGCCUCGUUUGCCUUCUGUGCUAAAGCUCCAAUCUCGUCAGUUGUUUCUUUCAUUUCUUCAGCAACCUCUGUUGCUUUUUGUGAAACAUUUCCAGUUUCUUCAGCUGGGCUAUUUAACAUGGCCGCAACCUCCUUGGCUUUUCCAGAUACAUUUUCACUUUUUUCAGCUGGACUUUUCAGGUCUGCAACAACCUCAGAUGCUUUAUGCGACACAUUUGCGAUUUCUUCAACAGUUUUUUUAAGUUCUGCUGCUGUCUCUACUUCUUUCUGUGAUAUGCUUCCAUUUUCAGCUUGUCGUUUCAAUUCUGCGGUAGUAUCUGGUUCUUUUUGAGACACAAUUCCAAUCUCUUCAGAUGGUUUUUUCAAUUCUGCACUAGCACCUGUUGCAUUGUUUAAUACACUUCCAAUAUCUACAGCAGAUUUUUUCACUUCUGCAGUAUCCCCUCUUGCAAUUUCUGAUACGCCUCCAGUUUCUUUAUCUGAAGUUUUCGAUUCUAAAGCAGGUUUAGUGGCCUUUUCCAUUGAGCUUCCAGUGUCAUCAGCUUGGUUUUUCACCUCUGAUAGACCCUCUGUAGUUUUGUUUCUCACAUCUGCAUUAGCUUCUGUUUCUUUUUUUGCCACGUUCCCACUUUCUUCAGCUGAUUUUUGUGAAACACUUGCUAUGCCCUCAACUGAUCUUUUCAGCUCUGCUGAAGGAGCCUCAGUUGAUACACCAGUUGAUUUUUUCACAUCUUGAGGAGCCACUGCUGCGUUCUGCGAAACACCUACUGUUUCUUCAACUGAUUUUUUUAACUCUAAAGAAGGCUCUAUUGACUUUGGCAAUGCACUCCCAACUUCUUCAGUUGAUUUUUUCAGCUCUGCAGUAGUUUCUGCUGUUUUUCCCGAUACAUUUCCAACUUCAGCUGGUCUUUUCAAAUCUGGAGCCACCAUUGUAGCUUUUUGUGAUACACUUUCUACCUGUUCAACUUCUUUUUUCAAAUCUGCAUGAGCCUCUGUUGCUUUUUUUGAAUCACUUUCAAUUUUUUCAGGUGGUUUCUUCACUUCUGAAGGAGCCUUUGAUGCCUUUUCUGAUAUACUCCCAAUUUCUUCUGCUGCUUUUUGCAUUACACUUGCAAUUUCUUCUACUGGUUUUUUCAAUUCUAGAGCUGGCUCUGUUUCGUUUUGCUUUACAUUUUCUCUCUUGUCUGUUUCUUUCAGUUCUGCAUUAGCCAUUGUUGCCUUUUGGGAUACACUCCCGACUACUUCAGCUGGUAUUUUCAAUUCUGCAGCAGUAUCCAUUCCUUUUUGUGAGACAUCUUGGGCUUGUAUUUUGAGUAUAAUGUUGGAUUCGUCAGUGGACUUCUCCGGAGGUUUACAAUUUUCCUGUUGAAUAUGAAAAUGCUAAAUGAGUCCAACCAGUUUAUAUGAAUUGUGAUUUCAGUACCACACACUUUGAGAUCUUAUUAGUAGAGAAUCAAACAUAGAAGACAUAAAAUUUAAUUGAACGCUUGUUUAUUGAUAUUUGAGAUUUAUGGUUGACUAAGCUGAGUUAUUAGAAUAGAUUGUAGCAAAUUGAAAGAAUUAAAAGAAAUGAACUGCUUAUCAAUUUUUCUAAUGCUUGGUGUUUCUUUCUUCUUUUCUUGGUGGGUUUUUUUAGUUUUUUAGUCAAUAUUGUUAUAUUUCUUAUUGAAAAGAUAUAUCAAGGUUCAGUAGCAUCAUUGAGAAUUGACUUUCUUUCUAAUAAUGUAAUUCAGUCAUUUUGGAGUCACAAACCUCUUGAGUCGCCAAAUUUUUCUGUACAGCUGAUGCAAUGGGAUCUUUAGAAGCCUGCAUUUUCUCAGAAACAUCAAUUUGUGAAGUACUUUGCUGAGCUUUACUGUCUUGAUUUGGAUUAGAGGUCUUUAUAGCGUCAAUUGGGUUUAACAUGUCUUUGUUGCCCUCAUUUUUAGUUACCUUUUGAAGAUCUCCUUCAGUAUUAUUCAAGUUCUUAUUUUCCUUUUGUAUCGCAAGAUUUAUAGAAUCUCCCUCCUUGCUGCUCAAUUCUCCAACAGUGCUACUCUUCGCUUCACCAUCUCUGUCUUUAAUCUGUUUUUCAUCUUUCAAAUCAUCAAUUGUGUUGGCAGCCGCAACAUUCACCUUGGUCAUUUCAUCAGGAGGAUUAGAUGAUGAUUCCUGUUUUAUAUGCAAAGAGAUCAGGAAGAGAUGUCAGUAAAAUUAAUGAUCACUAGACAGAUACUUAUGUUUAUAAAGCUUUUAUAAAGAAAAAAAUGGAUAUAAGAAGUUUUUUUUUACUAUAAUACUUGGUUGCAGCUUAGAAUUACUGACCAUUAUCAAUUUUUCGACUUGAUUUACAGGUGAAGGUGCAUUUGACAAACCAGAUGCGCUAAGCUGCCCAACUUCUUCCACUACUAGCCUGACAUCCUCUAAACUCAUCGAAUGGGUUCUACUGUCUGCUUGUAUUCCUGUC
rnacentral:lncRNA from 1 species